UACGUAGGGGGGCAAGCGUUGUCCGGAAUUACUGGGCGUAAAGAGCUCGUAGGUGGUUUGUCGCGUUGUCCGUGAAAACUCACAACUCAAUUGUGGGCGUGCGGGCGAUACGGGCAGACUGGAGUACUGCAGGGGAGACUGGAAUUCCUGGUGUAGCGGUGGAAUGCGCAGAUAUCAGGAGGAACACCGGUGGCGAAGGCGGGUCUCUGGGCCGAAAUUGACGCUGAGGAGCGAAAGCGUGGGGAGCAAACAGG
rnacentral:rRNA from 1 species